rnacentral:tRNA from 1 species
GCUCAGAUAGCUUAAUUAUUGAAAGCUAAACUUUGAAGAGGUUUUGAUAGAAUUUAUUCUUCUGGGUA